rnacentral:rRNA from 1 species
UACGUAGGGUGCAAGCGUUAUUCGGACUUACUGGGCGUAAAGCGUGCGCAGGCGGUGAUGUAAGCCAGGUGUGAAAUCCCCGGGCUUAACCUGGGAACUGCAUUUGUGACUGCAUCGCUGGAGUGCGGCAGAGGGGGAUGGAAUUCCGCGUGUAGCGGUGAAAUGCGUAGAUAUCGGAAGGAACACCGAUGGCGAAGGCAAUCCCCUGGGCCUGCACUGACGCUCAUGCACGAAAGCGUGGGGAGCAAACAGG